rnacentral:other from 2 species
AAUCUCACAUCAGAUUUCCUGGUGUAACGAAUUUUCAAGUGCUUCUUGCAUAAGCAAGUUUGAUCCCGACCCGUAGGGCCGGGAUUUUUU